ensembl:ncRNA lncRNA:CR45361 long non-coding RNA:CR45361
ACAGAUGAAAAGAACGCAAACGAGGCGUCAGCGGGCCGAGCAGCGCCAAGAAUUAAUUUGAGAAUAUUUUUUGCAUCCUUUAGUGCAUUACCGAUUCUGUUGUCGACCCGUUCAGAUCGGCACUAGUCCGGCCAAUUCCUGCCGUAUUGUUUACAUAUACACCAAGCUUAAUAACCCACAAAGUCAGGAAUAUCCCGUGUGGUGCUCCGAAAAAAUCCUGGACAAUUCUUUGAAAGUCCUUGAAAACGAACGAAAACUUACCCCCAGUUUGUGUGCCGUCGUGAUCCUGUUAAAAUAUCGACCUAAACGUUGCUCGAAAGCAAUCGAAAACUUUCAGUUUCUCCGAGAAGGCGGGUUACCCGUUAUUGCUAUUUAUGGAGAGCAUCGGAAUAAUGCUAUAAAUAUAUCCGAUCCCGACAGAAGGCGAGCCGAAGAUUUUCAAAUCGCUCCCUGGCGAAACGUGAGUGUGCUAGUGUAUUUUGUAUGGCGCGAAUGAAUAAUACUCACUUGCUCAUCGCUAUUUUCGUGUUUCGGAAAUUUGUAUAUAAUGCCCACACUUAUGUACUUCGCUCUAUAUAAGUACUUUUGCAGAGGCGGAGAAAACUUCUUGCAGAAUAUAGCUUUCGAUUUUUUAUUCUGAUUUCCGAGGGCCGCAGUAAAUUUUUAACAUUUUCGUAGCCAGUAACGCGUAUAGUAGUUAAUAACCGAGGCCUUUUUCCAAGUUAUAUAACGUUCCAUUAAAUUUUAUAAACUACAGUGAUGGUAUGGUUAGAAAUAUAGAGAGCACUUCCGAAUUCCUUAAAAAUGUAUCUUGGUAUUCAAAAAUUAAAUAAAUAUUAAGUUUGCAAGGACAUUUCUCAAGCACUUGUCAAAAACAAAAGUUAAGUUAAGCAUGCAACAAAAUACGUGUUUAAUUACAAACUAUAGGAUUUCUGUAAUUCUUCCCACUGCAUAUUAAAGCAUUGCAUGCCGCAGUUGAUGGUAAAGGUUAAAAUACAUUUUUUAAAGGAUAAUGAUAUCUGAGAAAUGCAUAUUCCACCAACAGCUUGUUAAUUAAUUUCAAUUAAAAUAUGCAACAUUAAUGGUUAUAAUAGCAUUAAAAUAAUUAGUUACACGACACAAGCAGACUUUGUGGAACACAUUCGACCCACUGAAAAAUUGAUAUAAUUUAAUGAAAGUGCAUAAAAAUGGUGGACAGUGCAUUAAACUGAGCAUUGAACACAAAGGCCGCUCAGCAAAUUGCUAAUUAAAAUUCACGAUUGCCAUUUCACCUGACACGUUGACGAUUUUCAUUACAAUUCGAUUAUGUUUCGUUGCAGGGAAUUUUAAAUGUUAAUUGCCAAGAAUGUUUCAACAAAUUCAUUUCUCAUUAAUGUGUCUUUUCAUUUAAUUUUAUGUUGUAUGAGCUGCACGAGAAAUGAGUUGUACUUUUAGUUCGACGGCAGAGUCAUGAAUGUUCGGCAAAGAAUGUAAUAAUAACUAUCCUCUUUAGACAAAUAUAGAUACAAAUCUAUCAGAUUCUAAAAGUAGAAUAAUCAAUUAAUCAGAAAGCUAAAAAUAAAUAGGCAUAUUUAUAUUUUAAUGCGGAUUUUUGAAGUUCAACGGGAGAAAUGAAUCCUUUUUACCAGCCACAGGCGCAAUUUGCAACAGAAAGUGUAGCAGAAGUACUCCUCGAAUAUUUCCCUGCUCCAGGAGUCAUCCAUGUGGUUUCGAGGCACACAUUUGACAAACUCAUGCCCCGCUAUUUGUUGUAAAAACACAAUCGCACACAUGGCCGCAUUUCGGCGACUUCCAGAGAGCGGUACACUUAAGGCGGCCUGGGAAACGCCUGCAAUCUGCUGGUCGCGAACUGCAGAUUGCAUCCAUGUGCCAGGCGACCAUGCGACCAUGUGACCAUGUGCCCGCCCGACGCCUCGCAGCCCACAUCCUGCCCAUCGAGGGCACAACUCAGCGUGGGUAUUGCCGCUCCGGCUGCUUCAAGUAGGUAAAAACCGAGAAGAUUGAGGAUGAAUGUAUGAGUAUGAGAAAAUACUCGGCGGAACAUAUGCUGCCGGGCUUGACCUGACCCUGCCUCAUGUGUGGGUCUCCGAUUUAAUUUUAGGCACCUAUAUAAACGCGUGUUUACACUGCAGCCAGAACACAGUCGCCGUCUUCAGUUCGCGCCGUCAACUCCUCGAUCGAUCGAUCGCAUCGUCUCGGAUCGAAUAGAGCUGGGCUUCUGCUCCGGAGCUACAUCGCCGUACUUGUCGGACGAGUGUGGUGAUGAAAAGUCGCUUAGUCCGGGAUUCCUGCCAGAUCUCUAAGGGAUGAGCUGGCAUCCCAGGCUGGCCAUGUGGCGCGAAGUAUGCGCACAAAAAAGUCAAACAAAAAGGCGCAAUUUUAUUACGGGCAACCAACGACGAAACAAAACAAAAGCCAACCGAAAAGCAGAAACAAAGCAGCAAAAAGUUUAUGAAUUUUUUGUGCAGGCGCGUGAAAGAUGCAAAACGAGAAAAAAACAUGAAAAAAAAACAUUAAAAAAAACAAAAAAAAUCCAAAACAGAUACCGAGCUGUAUCCGAAAACGAGUGGGGAAAGGGGUUUCCCAGUCACAUAUAAACACACUUCAGUGCGCUUAAAAAUUGCUUUAUUGCAGUUGGACUAUAAAAACGCACGGCAGCGAACACCGCACAACAAAAAGGACGAGCAGAAGUGGGCAAAUAAAACGAAAGCUCUUAAACGAAAAACAGGAAAAUUUGCAUGCCACAAAAAUAAGCAUAAGGAUUUGCCGCGCACAAAGUAGAAGCAAAAAGGAAUUGCCCAAAUGCAGCCACAAAAGACUGUGGCAAAUGUUUUGCAGCUUGCCCCUUUUUCCCUGCAAUUACCGUCAGUCGUUGUCAUUAUUCAGCAGAUUAUAUGGUUUUGCUUAUUCCGGACCACCAUCAUCAUCAUCAUUAUCAUCAUCUUCGGUAAGUUAGACAAUCCCAUAAAAAACUGUCCAAGUGAGUAGUGCCACCAAAAGUUAGCCGCGUUGUGGAAAAUCCAAAACAAAGACCAUCCCAUAUUCAGCCUUUGAGAGUUCCAUGCUUCCUUGCAUUCAAUAGUUAUAUUCAAGCAUAUGGAAUGUAAAGAAGUAUGGAGCGAAAUCUGGCGAGACAUCGGAGUUGAAACU